UACGUAGAAGACUAGUGUUAUUCAUCUUUAAUAGGUUUAAAGGGUACCUAGACGGUAUAAUUAGUCUUUAACAGGAAACGGUUAUACUAGAAGUUAUAUAUGAGGAGGUGAGUAUUUGUGGAGUAGAGUUGAAAUUCUUUGAUACCAUGAAGACUGGUAAAGGCGAAAGCAACCUUUAUCUAAUAACUGACGUUGAGGGACGAAGGCUCGGGUCGCGAACAGG
rnacentral:rRNA from 1 species